rnacentral:rRNA from 1 species
GGCAGCUCAAGUGGUGGCCAUUUUUAUUGGGCCUAAAGCGUUCGUAGCCGGUUUGAUAAGUCUCUGGUGAAAUCCCGCAGCUUAACUGUGGGACUUGCUGGAGAUACUAUUAGACUUGAGGUCGGGAGAGGUUAGGGGUACUCCCAGGGUAGGGGUGAAAUCCUAUAAUCCUGGGAGGACCACCUGUGGCGAAGGCGCCUAACUGGAACGAACCUGACGGUGAGUAACGAAAGCCAGGGGCGCGAACCG